UACGUAGGGUGCAAGCGUUGUCCGGAAUUAUUGGGCGUAAAGAGCUCGUAGGCGGUCUGUCGCGUCUGCUGUGAAAACUCAGGGCUUAACCCUGAGCUUGCAGUGGGUACGGGCAGACUAGAGUGCGGUAGGGGAGACUGGAAUUCCUGGUGUAGCGGUGAAAUGCGCAGAUAUCAGGAGGAACACCGGUGGCGAAGGCGGGUCUCUGGGCCGUAACUGACGCUGGAGGAAGCGGAAAGCAUGGGGAGCGAACAGGA
rnacentral:rRNA from 1 species